UACGGAGGGGGCUAGCGUUGUUCGGAAUUACUGGGCGUAAAGCGCACGUAGGCGGCUUUGUAAGUCAGGGGUGAAAUCCCGGGGCUCAACCCCGGAACUGCCCUUGAGACUGCAAGGCUCGAAUCCAGGAGAGGUGAGUGGAAUUCCGAGUGUAGAGGUGAAAUUCGUAGAUAUUCGGAAGAACACCAGUGGCGAAGGCGGCUCACUGGACUGGUAUUGACGCUGAGGUGCGAAAGCGUGGGGAGCAAACAGGAUUAGAAACCCCCGUAGUCC
rnacentral:rRNA from 1 species